rnacentral:rRNA from 1 species
AUUGAACGCUGGCGGCAUGCCUUACACAUGCAACUCGAACGGUAACGGGCCUUCGGGUGCCGACGAGUGGCGAACGGGUGAGUAAUACAUCGGAACGUGCCCGAUCGUGGGGGAUAACGAGGCGAAAGCUUUGCUAAUACCGCAUACGAUCUACGGAUGAAAGCAGGGGACCGCAAGGCCUUGCGCGGACGGAGCGGCCGAUGGCAGAUUAGGUAGUUGGUGGGAUAAAAGCUUACCAAGCCGACGAUCUGUAGCUGGUCUGAGAGGAUGAUCAGCCACACUGGGACUGAGACACGGCCCAGACUCCUACGGGAGGCAGCAGUGGGGAAUUUUGGACAAUGGGCGCAAGCCUGAUCCAGCCAUGCCGCGUGCAGGAUGAAGGCCUUCGGGUUGUAAACUGAUUUUGUACGGAUCGAAAAGCCUUCUUUUAAUACAGGAGGGUCAUGACGGUACCGUAAGAAUAAGCACCGGCUAACUACGUG